GCUGGCGGCGUGCCUAAUACAUGCAAGUCGAGCGAACGGACGAGAAGCUUGCUUCUCUGAUGCUAGCGGCGGACGGGUGAGAAACACGUGGAUAACCUACCUAUAAGACUGGGAUAACUUCGGGAAACCGGAGCUAAUACCGGAUAAUAUUUUGAACCGCAUGGUUCAAAAGUGAAAGGCGGUCUUGCUGUCACUUAUAGAUGGAUCCGCGCUGCAUUAGCUAGUUGGUAAGGUAACGGCUUACCAAGGCAACGAUGCAUAGCCGACCUGAGAGGGUGGUCGGCCACACUGGAACUGAGACACGGUCCAGACUCCUACGGGAGGCAGCAGUAGGGAAUCUUCCGCAAUGGGCGAAAGCCUGACGGAGCAACGCCGCGUGAGUGAUGAAGGUCUUCGGAUCGUAAAACUCUGUUAUUAGGGAAGAACAUAUGUGUAAGUAACUGUGCACAUCUUGACGGUACCUAAUCAGAAAGCCACGGCUAACUACGUGCCAGCAGCCGCGGUAAUACGUAGGUGGCAAGCGUUAUCCGGAAUUAUUGGGCGUAAAGCGCGCGUAGGCGGUUUUUUAAGUCUGAUGUGAAAGCCCACGGCUCAACCGUGGAGGGUCAUUGGAAACUGGAAAACUUGAGUGCAGAAGAGGAAAGUGGAAUUCCAUGUGUAGCGGUGAAAUGCGCAGAGAUAUGGAGGAACACCAGUGGCGAAGGCGACUUUCUGGUCUGUAACUGACGCUGAUGUGCGAAAGC
rnacentral:rRNA from 1 species